UACAGAGGUCUCAAGCGUUGUUCGGAUUCAUUGGGCGUAAAGGGUGUGUAGGUGGCGCCGUAAGUCGGGUGUGAAAUCUCGGGGCUUAACUCCGAAACUGCAUUCGAUACUGCGGUGCUUGAGGACUGGAGAGGAGACUGGAAUUCAUGGUGUAGCAGUGAAAUGCGUAGAUAUGCGGAGGAACACCGAUGGCGAAGGCAAUCCCCUGGACCUGUACUGACGCUCAUGCACGAAAGCGUGGGGAGCAAACAGG
rnacentral:rRNA from 1 species